rnacentral:rRNA from 1 species
ACGCUGGCGGCGUGCCUAAUACAUGCAAGUGGGACGCAAGGAAACACACUGUGCUUGCACACCGUGUUUUCUUGAGUCGCGAACGGGUGAGUAACGCGUAGGUAACCUGCCUAUUAGCGGGGGAUAACUAUUGGAAACGAUAGCUAAUACCGCAUAAUAUUAAUUAUUGCAUGAUAAUUGAUUGAAAGAUGCAAGCGCAUCACUAGUAGAUGGACCUGCGUUGUAUUAGCUAGUUGGUAAGGUAAGAGCUUACCAAGGCGACGAUACAUAGCCGACCUGAGAGGGUGAUCGGCCACACUGGGACUGAGACACGGCCCAGACUCCUACGGGAGGCAGCAGUAGGGAAUCUUCGGCAAUGGACGAAAGUCUGACCGAGCAACGCCGCGUGAGUGAAGAAGGUUUUCGGAUCGUAAAGCUCUGUUGUAAGUCAAGAACGUGUGUGAGAGUGGAAAGUUCACACAGUGACGGUAGCUUACCAGAAAGGGACGGCUAACUACGUGCCAGCAGCCGCGGUAAUACGUAGGUCCCGAGCGUUGUCCGGAUUUAUUGGGCGUAAAGGGAGCGCAGGCGGUCAGGAAAGUCUGGAGUAAAAGGCUAUGGCUCAACCAUAGUGUGCUCUGGAAACUGUCUGACUUGAGUGCAGAAGGGGAGAGUGGAAUUCCAUGUGUAGCGGUGAAAUGCGUAGAUAUAUGGAGGAACACCAGUGGCGAAAGCGGCUCUCUGGUCUGUCACUGACGCUGAGGCUCGAAAGCGUGGGUAGCGAACAGGAUUAGAUACCCUGGUAGUCCACGCCGUAAACGAUGAGUGCUAGGUGUUAUGCCCUUUCCGGGGCUUAGUGCCGGAGCUAACGCAAUAAGCACUCCGCCUGGGGAGUACGACCGCAAGGUUUGAACUCAAAGGAAUUGACGGG